AACCCAUGAACUAUGAGAUCAUGACCCGAGCCGAAGUCGGAUGCUCAACCCACUGAGCCACCCAGGCGCCCCUGUAAAGUAUCAGAUUUCUUUCAAGAAAUCUGAUAGAGGAUGGUAAACCGAUAGGAUUUCAUACACCUUGGCAGUAGAUACAGGAGUAUUGAAAAUGUUGCGGCAUGUUCUGUAUGGUUGAAAUGUUGGGGGACGGGUUGAAAGUGCUCCCCUUCUCCCCCUGUUGUGGUUAUCAUUGGGAGAUACUUCUUUGAGGAAUGCAAAAACCAGCCCUCCCAACGCCUUACGAAUGGAUGCUUACGGUUUGGAUAAAAUCUCUAGUCAGAAUAUCAUCUAUCUGAAAAGUGCUACCUUUCAAACACAAAGAUGCAAAGACAUUGUUCUCUAAAAAAAGGUCAGAUCGCUCCAAGAUGCGCCGCUGUGGGAGCAGAGUCAUGUUGAAGGAGCCCGUGGAAAGUUCAAAGUCGUCUCACAAAAACUCAGGCUGGGAAGAGGCGUUCUUUGUGCCCCAUGCUGAGGCAUUUUCCUCUGCUUCAGAGCCGUCUUGUGAACUUCCUGUGACUGCUGUAACAAAUUCCUGCAUACUUAGUGACUUAACCAAUUUCUUACAACAAUUCUGGAGGUCAGAAGUCUAAAAUCAAGGUGUUGGCAAGGCCAUCUUCUUUUUGGAGACCCUAAGAGAAUCUCUUCCCUCACCUUUAUCUGGCUUCUAGAAGCCAUCCAAACUCCUUGGCCUGAGAUCCCUCCGACAUCCUCACGGCCAGCAGCUGGGGGUCUGACCAUCUCUCUGACUCCUACCCCCUGCCUUUGUCUCUUGAGGACCUCCUGAGGACGCUGGGCUCCCUGGGAACCCAGGGUCACCCCCGCCUCAGGGCCCUUAAUCCCUUCUGCCAAGUCCCUUUUGCUAUGUCCGGGGCCAUGUUCACAGGUUCUGGUGAUCACCACGUGUGCACCUUUAUUCUGCCGGCCACAUCUUUCAUACUUGGCUUUAUGAUGUGGGGUUGGAGUGGGCUGAACACGCAGGAAACCACAUUUCUACUUCGCCAGCGGCUCCCCGAAUACUAGAACCUUCUAACCGCAGGGUGGAUGGAGGCCGCAGGAGGGAGAAGGGGUUCUGCGCCUUCCUGUCCUGUCACUCUGUGCGUUUGAGAAUGCCUUUGUUACCUCCACACAUGAAUCACAUCUCAAAUAACUUGACUCACACUUCUUUCCUCUCAGGCUGCUACAGUUUUACUUUGCUCUCUGUGCAAUGAAUGUUUUGUGAAGAA